rnacentral:lncRNA from 1 species
AUGAAGGAGGCGAACUUUUUCUUCAGUGGAAAGCAGAGUAAAAGUCUGCAUCAGUGCAAGUCUCUGAACUGUUUCUGCUCUCAGGUUUGGAUGCCUGGAUUUCAAGCUGGGUUCACGUUCCUGCUCUGUACCUUGCUCGGAGCCUGCCUUGCUCCUGCAGUGGAGCACGCAUUGCAGAUGAAUAAAAGGAGACUCAGAGAGAGAUUGCUGGUUGUCCCAAGACAUAAGGUAUGUCAAGUAUAUUUUUAUGGAACCAAACUCAAAAACUCAUCUGAAAAUGACACAGGCAUGAGCAAGUAUCCCUUCCCAUAUCCAAAACAGUUUUCAUCUCCAUCCGGACUGGAAACAUGGUAGGCUACCUGAAUAAUUACACCAGCUCUUCAUCCUCAAUGCCAACAUUCAGUUAAUUCCCAGCACUGAUAAAUUUGAUCAUCAAACUGUUAAUUCAGUCAGAUGGAGGUUACAACUUUGUAAGAAUGAAGAAAAAUUACACUGAUUAAGUUUAAA